rnacentral:rRNA from 1 species
AUGAUGGAGAAGAUGAGGAUGGUGCGGGACGCCAGUCACGCUGCCUACGAAGCCAGCUCGGCCCUCCAAAGCAAUGUUCAGAAAUCUUGUGAUCUGGGAGCUCGCUUUGCUGACUUAGAGAAACAGCAGAUCCAACUGAACCUUGACUUGGAGCUGGCCAAGACAGAGCUGCAAAAGGCUAAGGAUGGCGCCAAUGCUCUGGCAAAGAAGGACCAGGAUCUGGCUGCUGCCCGAAAGGAAGCUGAUGACAGAGUCACUCUGGCCGAACAGAAGCUGGCUUCGGUCGGCCAGUUGGAAGAAGAGAAUACCAGGCUGAAGUCUGCUCUGAAUGACGCCAACAGGGAGUGCUCACGCUGGAAGAAGGUGAAUCUCAUCCAGGGCGAGAAAAUGGAAAGCAUUGCUCGUAGGAGGGAUGAUCUGGAGAGUUAUCUGAGAAGUCUUGCCAAGAAGUUGUUCAUCAAGCUUGAAGAGUUUUGCGAGAACUUUGAAGAGGAGACUGGGCGGAUCGAACCAGGUUUGGAUCCAAUCAACUCUCCCAUGAAAGAUGAAACUGCCAUGAAUCUGCUCCGACUGGAAUCUCUCAUCGACGAUGCCGUGGACUACUUGGCUCGACUGAAGGUCGCCAUGUCACGGAUCGAACCGACACUUUGGCCAGAAGCCACACUCCAAAACGAUCUUGAGUCCCUGAUGACUCGACUUAACGGAAUCCCUGACCGAGUGCAGGAGUGGAAGAAGUCGUCUACUUGGUGUGGCGCUGAUGUGGCUCUGUCCUUGGUUCGUGUCCACUACAAGGAGGUGCGACAAGAUAAGCUGGCCGCAAUCAAGGUCGCCAACACCCAGAAGCGCGACUUCCGAACUUUUAUGGAGACUUUCAUUGCUGCCGCCACUCGGAUUGCCGAUGGCGUCGACCUGGACGAGUUCGUCGAGCCUGCCAGCCCUCCUCCUGCGGAGUGA